UGUGAAGCAGCAACAGGGGCUACAUGGUGUAAGCAUGUGCGUGCCUGCCUAUUUUCCAUAUGCUUGUACAUUUGAAGGAGGAAACUGAGACCCAGAGACAUUAAGUACCAGGUCCAGUCACACAACUAACAAGUGAAAAUUUGGACUAGAAAUCAGAUGUUCCAAAUAGGAGUCUGUGGAAAUACAUGGAUGUCCAGAAGGAGUUGCCUAGGCUCAAAAAGGACUAUUCCCUGGAAGGGCAGAGGAUUCUUCCCACAUUACAAGUGGGAAUACGGAGCGGAGGUCACCCUCGGGGCAGAUAACAAAAUCCAAACUUCUAAUCCUGCUCCAAGCUGGCAGUAUUCCAUUCUGGCCUCCCAAGGCCCCCCUGUCCUGGGCCCCUUCUUUUGGAGUGGGCUAGGGAAAGCCUCUAACAAAACCACUCACCCAGAGGGAUUGAAGACUAAAUUGUGGGACUUUAUCUCUCUUUAGUCUCCUCCUCAUUCCUCUUCCCUCUACCUCCAUCAGAGAAAAGGUGAUGUUUAUUCCCAAAGAAAUGCGGCUCUAAUGUGGAAUUCCAGGCUCUGAUGUGUGGAAGCAGGGAGGCUUUUCUGGCCCACGUGUUCCAGCCCUGAGCCAGCAGUCCUCUCUGGGUGUCCAUCUCUCAGUGCUGGGCCCCAUUCCUUCCCCAAGGAUGGAAUUCCCCUUUCUGGAUGGGCAGCAAUGCUGUAAUAUAGUCUCUUUCUCCUGACAGUGGCCAGGAUGGAUGGCUCCAAGGAGGGAGCCCAGAAACACUUUAGCCUCACCCCAGAUGGCCCGGCCUGCUUUGAGUGACAGAAGCAUUGGAGAGGCCAUGGGAAAAGGUCUUUCUGGCCGCUGGUACCUAGCACUUGCUGUAGGAGAAGCCUCCAGCCCCCAUGAGGCAGAUGUGGAAACGCCGCUGACAUCAAGGGGAGUUCUUGCCUGGGCAGGAAGCUCUCUGGGGUGCCAGGACUUCAAAUAAGCCUCCCUCUAUCUAUACUGCAAACACGCAGCACUCCCUCACAUCAACACCCCCAGCCCUGAGAAAGCCCGAGCCCACAUUGGUGCCAGGGCAGCAAUAGCCGCUUUCCUGGGAACCUGCAUAGAAUCACCGAUCAGGACCUUCGUGGGGGCAGUCCAGGACACUGGGGGACCUCUUGAGUAGAGGCCUCAGUUUCUGCCUUCUGGACUCUCCGGGGACCCAAGCGAUGCACACAAUGUAGGAAGGUACCAUCCAGUAAGGCAGAUCCACAGCCAUCGGGAAUCCCUUUGGCUGUGUUUGCUGUUGAGGUUCAUCUAUGGCCCAGAGUCGGAAAGUGACUAAUAAACUUGAAAACAUUUCCA
rnacentral:lncRNA from 1 species